GAUGAACGCUGGCGGCGUGCCUAAUACAUGCAAGUCGAGCGAACAGACGAGGAGCUUGCUCCUCUGACGUUAGCGGCGGACGGGUGAGUAACACGUGGAUAACCUACCUAUAAGACUGGGAUAACUUCGGGAAACCGGAGCUAAUACCGGAUAAUAUAUUGAACCGCAUGGUUCAAUAGUGAAAGACGGUUUUGCUGUCACUUAUAGAUGGAUCCGCGCCGCAUUAGCUAGUUGGUAAGGUAACGGCUUACCAAGGCAACGAUGCGUAGCCGACCUGAGAGGGUGAUCGGCCACACUGGAACUGAGACACGGUCCAGACUCCUACGGGAGGCAGCAGUAGGGAAUCUUCCGCAAUGGGCGAAAGCCUGACGGAGCAACGCCGCGUGAGUGGUGAAGGUCUUCGGAUCGUAAAACUCUGCUAUUAGGGAAGAACAAAUGUGUAAGUAACUAUGCACGUCUUGACGGUACCUAAUCAGAAAGCCACGGCUAACUACGUG
rnacentral:rRNA from 1 species